GUUGCAGUCGUGUCUUCCGUUGUGGUUAUGUCCUCACACAUUAUAACCAAUAGAAUGCAGUUUUACUUCUUCCAAUCAAAGUGCGUUGUGAUCGUGUCUUCUGCGUGUCACUUCCCAACUAGGGGAGGGAUGCAAAGCAAAAGUGUAAAAAGAUCGUUAAGAUUUCCGCGCUCGAAGUUUGAGAAUUUCGUGGGCUAUCCUUGACACCUUUUGGGACGCUUCGGAUUGGUGAAAGAGUAAGAUUCUGGUUGCGUUUUUAAGUGCGAGGUAUUUGGGAAAUUUCCUUCCAUACGUUGGAAAGCCUAGGAAGACGAGAAUUUGACAUUGCCUCAUGGCUUUCCUUACUUUUCUGUUGGAGCUAGUACAAUAAGGCAUGGAUGAGAACCAGCAGCAAAGCAAAGUAAACAAAAGUGCAGAUGAAAGAUUCAAUCCACUUACAGACAUAGAUGGUGCCUGUAAAUUUUACCUUUAUUCUUAGGGUAAGACACAUGUAGAAAGCAAUAUUUCGCAAAACAACAACAUUAUGUAUGCAAAUUUUAAAUUUUUCCAAUUUUUUCUGCUUGACUUUUUGAGUGGUUCCAGGAUUUUCUUGUGCAAAGAGUUCUAGGUGAAUGUACCAGUCACCAUGUUUUUUGGUAUGAUGGUUUACAUUGAUUGCUGUGCUCUACAUUCAUCAUUGAAGUACCAAUUAAUUCCUUUGCCAUCAGUAAUUGCUUUAAAUAUACUGUGUCAGAAAUCACAGCACUGUUCCCCAAAUUUAAUGUUGUCCAGGGCACAAUUUCAUA